UCUUUUCCUUCUUCUUGUCCGUUGUUGUCUGUUUCGUCUUCCUUUCCUUGUCCAUUUUUCUGUACUUUUCAUUUUUCUCUUCCUAUUCCUCCUUCUGUUUCUUACUUUUGCUCCUCUUUUUCUCGCUAUAAAUACAUUUAGAUGUGCUUCUGUGACUGUCGAUUUUUUUUUUCUGUUUUGUUGUGUGGCUGAGAAUGUGGAAGUAUGGAUGUGUGCAUGCAUGCAUUUAUGUAUUGUUAUUUUCAUAGGUGUUCCUAUGUCUGUUGUUGGUCCAAGUGUCUUCGUUUGUCUCUGUAACUCUCGCUUUGUACACGCGUAUAUGGAUGCAGAAGCGGAUGUGGAUGCUUGCCUGUGGUUUGGUGGGUGAUUGAAUUUAUGAAUAUGUAUAUUGUAGAGUUCAUUGGUGUGUCGUGUUUAUUCACGUUUCUUUGUUUGCCGCGAACUCUCGUCGCUUUGGUUACGUACGUGAUGUAGAUGUGGAAGCGGAUGUGGCAUGGUGGAGCGGUAUGUCUGCGUAUGGUGUACUAUUCAUCGUUGUUUUGCUUUGUGAGCCCUUGCCUGUUUGUGGGUGUCGAUGUAUAGGGUUGUAUUUAUUCUUCUUUAUUGCUGUGCCUGGUGUUGUUACCAAAUUGUUUAUAUUUGUCUCUAACAUACUCGCUCUGUAUGUAUACUUGUAUGUGUGUAUACGGAUGGAUGUGUGGUACAUUACUCAUAAUUAUAUAUAUAUAUAUAUAUAUAUAUAUAUAUAUAUAUAUAUAUAUAUAUAUACAUAUAUAUAAUACAUAUCGGUGGUUUUGUGUCUGCCGUUGCUCCUUAUUUGUUGUCAUUGUUCUCUAAUGCUCUGGCUGUGUAUUUAGAGGGUGUGGAUAUGGAUAUUUUUUUUAUUUCCUGUAUGUUAAUACAUGUGUUAUAUAAUUUGUGAGGUUGCUGUUCCCCAUUUCCCCCUCUAUUUCCAAAUCUUGUGUGUUUUCUUUUUCUCUUGCAGUCAUACCGGGCUAUAGAGGAAGUCAGAAUCUAUAAGAGUGAACACAGUACUGGUGCGAAAAUUAGAAAAAGUGUAAAUUGUGCGGUGCGAUUGAAAUAAUGAAAGGAAAGAAAAUUACUGUUUGUGCGUUGUGAACUCUGAACUGAUAAUCCAUCUUAGUAACAUAGAGCAAUUCCGAUCUUCAAGCAAUUUCAACUCGGCAAUGGCAGGGUCUCUUUUCGAUAGUCCAUCUCUCGCCGUCUCCGGAUGCUUCCUCACUUCGGUUGAAUCAGAUUUUCCCGAAAGAAAUUACUAUUCGCCUCCCGUCAACUUUAGUGCUUGGAUGAUACGAAUUCUUUCUACAUCUCUCUGAAAGGUAACUACACUUAUAUUUCUUGUACACUUAUUGUUCUGCCCCCCCCCCCUUAUUUUCAUUUUCAUUUUGAUUGUUUUCAUUAACUGGUUGAUAUUACUCUGUGUGAUCAAUGAAUUUAUCGUACAAGUAAUUGUCUCUGCCCCUUUAUCUUCAAUUUUGUUAAUGUGUCUACGCUAUUUUAUAUCAAUUCUCCGCUUCCACUGUCCACUUCUCUUUUUUUAAUUUCAUAUACUUUAUCUUGUUAUUUUUAUGGUUCAUUUUCCCUCCCUCUAUUUCUUUUUCUCCUCCGCCAUUUUUUCCUUCUCUGUUUGUCUGUCUGUCUGUCUUUUCCUCUCUCUCUCUCUCCCUCUCUCCCUCUCCCUCUCUCUAUCUCUCUCUCCGGUUCCCUUUCGCUCUUUUUUUUAUAUUAUCAUUCUUGCCCAUUUUUUUCUGUUUCGUCUUUUCGUGAGGGAAAUGCACAGUGGAAACAGAUUUUCCCGAAAGAUAUUACUAUUCGCCUCCUGUCAACUUCAGUGCUUGGAUCAUACGAAUUCUUUCUACAUCUCUCUAAAAUGGUGAGUACAUAUAUGUUUCUUGUACACAUAUUGUU
rnacentral:lncRNA from 1 species